UUUCCAUUAUAUCAUCAUAAAUAUUACGAUGAAUAUUUUCUAGGCCGUACAUACAUGACAACCUCCCACGAUUAAUGCAAUCCAAAGCCAGACUUUCCUCAGACGCGGAGAGGCAAGCAUCCCAGUCUUUGAAUAAGCGAUGUAGUCUGCAUAAGUAGAGGUGGAGGAAGUGUGUGACGGAGGAUAUGAAUUUAUUGGGAAUAGAAGAACAUUGGCACAAGAUCACCACUUGUGAAAAGCAGUCAUCGCCCGUCCAAUCUCAUCCUAAAUGGGAAAAUGCGAAUGUUAAACGAAAAUGAUGACAAUGAUGAUAUAUGACGGUCUGAAGAGGAAGGUUUACAUUUAUCUAUUUCUUUUGGCGAAUCUCGGACCUGCACGGGAACUGGCAGCUAGUUGGGUCUUUUUAUUUUUUACUCUUUUUGCUGCUCUUGGCCAGUUUUACCCUCUUACAUAAAAGAAAAAAAUUGCAUUACUGUCGCCUCAGACGACUCGAGUCUUCUUACUCCUAGCGUGGCUGUCUCAGUCUUACCUUUCCUUACACCACCCUCCCUCCUCCAACAUCAUUACUUCUUUCCCUCUCCCUUACCUCCACCACCCUUCCUCUGCCAUCGUUACACCAUCCCCUCCCUCUCCCUCCCUCCUGUGUGUAGUUUAGCUAGGUUUGCCGGUCACGCGGUAUUAUUUCAUGAGGAUCACACUGGGUUCCUUUCUAGCCCAUGAGGGCCUCUUCUCGUGUAGUCCUUGUUAAGUUGUCACCACACACACACACACACACACACACACACACACACGGCAGGUGUCAUUACAAGCAGUGCCUGCGCUCACUGCUCGAGGCGAGUGUUUCGGAGCCUCGCGAUGUCUCGCACACCAGCGAGCCCUCAAUGGCAGACUCUGCCACCAUGAGGCUUGACACUGCAUAAAGUGUUCAUGCUCAUGAUAAAACAGGUCCAAUUAUUGCUAGACAAGUAUAUACUAUGCAUUCAUCAGCAUGUAAUGGUGACACGAACGUGGAGGUGUGGACCAAUGAUGCGGAGGCUGGGCGGCAGGAGAGCCAAUCACUGGCCGCGUAUCAUUACGGCUAGGGGAAAGAGCUGUGUCACGUCACGUCAGUCAGUCCAUCGAGUCCAGUGUUAGUGGUACGUGUGUGCGUUGUCGGUGUUGCGAUGGAAGGAAGUGAUCGCGGUUUAUCUCCGUCAUCAGGCAUCACCCGCCGCCCAGGUGUCUUUCAGAAGGAGAAAAAGGCCAGCCACACUGACAGAGCAAGACGUGCGUUGACCUGUGAUCCAGGAGCCGGCUGCCAGUGAAGAGGGUUGCUGUGAGGGGCUGCAGUGGGGACAGGUCACUCCUGCUGACCCCAUCCCUGCUGGGGUGGAGGCACAGCAGGUGCUAAGGAGGCUUGUGGCAGCCGGUGGAGCACACACUCACUGGUCGUGUCUAUGUGUUUGCCUUUCCUGUGGGAGAAAUUACAACACACCCACAAAGUACCUGCUGUGUGGAUGGUUCGGAUGGAAUGGCUGACCCACUCCUCGCCACGGGCCUCCUGGAAGCGGAUGGCUUUGUUGAGCUGCACGGCAGACUGGUAGGGUGGUCAGAGUGUGCU